UACGUAGGGUGCAAGCGUUAAUCGGAAUUACUGGGCGUAAAGCGUGCGCAGGCGGUUUUGUAAGUUUUGUCGUGAAAGCCCCGGGCUCAACCUGGGAAUUGCGAUGAAGACUGCAAGGCUUGAAUCUGGCAGAGGGGGGGUAGAAUUCCACGUGUAGCAGUGAAAUGCGUAGAGAUGUGGAGGAACACCGAUGGCGAAGGCAGCCCCCUGGGUCAAGAUUGACGCUCAUGCACGAAAGCGUGGGGAGCAAACAGG
rnacentral:rRNA from 1 species